rnacentral:rRNA from 1 species
AACGAACGCUGGCGGCAGGCUUAACACAUGCAAGUCGAACGCCCCGCAAGGGGAGUGGCGGACGGGUGAGUAACGCGUGGGAACGUGCCCUGCGGUUGGGAAUAACUGCGGGAAACUGCAGCUAAUACCUGAUGAGCCCCGAGAGGGGGAAAGAUUUAUCGCCUUGGGAGCGGCCCGCGUCGGAUUAGCUAGUUGGUGGGGUAAGGGCCUACCAAGGGUUCGAUCCGUAGCUGGUCAGAGAGGACGAUCAGCCACACUGGGACUGAGACACGGCCCAGACUCCUAAGGGAGGGAGGAGUGGGGGAUCUUGCGAAAAGGGCGAAAGCCUGACGCAGCCAUGCCGCGUGAACGAUGAAGGCCUUAGGGUUGUAAAGUUCUUUUGCCCGUGACGACGAUGACGGUAACGGGAGAAUAAGCUCCGGCUAACUUCGUGCCAGCCGCCGCCGUAAUAC